rnacentral:rRNA from 1 species
UACGUGGGGUGCAAGCGUUGUCCGGAAUUACUGGGCGUAAAGGGCUCGUAGGCGGCCAACUAAGUCAGACGUGAAAUCCCUCGGCUUAACCGGGGAACUGCGUCUGAUACUGGAUGGCUUGAGUUCGGGAGAGGGAUGCGGAAUUCCAGGUGUAGCGGUGAAAUGCGUAGAUAUCAGGAGGAACACCGGCGGUGUAGACGGCUUACUGGACCAUGACUGACGCUGAGGCACGAAAGCGUGGGGAGCAAACAGG